rnacentral:rRNA from 1 species
AUUGAACGCUGGCGGCAGGCUUAACACAUGCAAGUCGAACGAGUGGCGGACGGGUGAGUAAUGCUUGGGAAUCUGGCUUAUGGCGGGGGAUAACGGCGGGAAACUGUCUCUAAUACCGCGUACAAUAGGCAGAGCCCAAGUGGGAUUCGGGAGUUGGUGGGGUAAUGGCCGCCCAAGCCGACGAUCUCUAGCUGGUCUGAGAGGAUGACCAGCCACACUGGGACGGAGACACGGCCGGGAAUCCGACGGGAGGCAGGAGUGGGGAAUAUUGCGCAAUGGGGGCAACCUGACGCAGCCAUGCCGCGUGAAUGAAGAAGGCCUUCGGGUUGUAAAGUUCUUUCGGUUACGAGGCGUUAAUCACAGAAGAAGCACCGGCUAACUCCGUGCCAGCAGCCGCGGUAAUAC